UACGAAGGGUGCGAGCGUUGUUCGGAAUUACUGGGCGUAAAGGGUGUGUAGGUGGAUAUAUAAGAUAGCGGUGAAAUGCCUGGGCUUGACCGAGGAAUUGCCGUUAUGACUACAUAACUAGAGUGACAGAGAGGAUAUUGGAAUACCCAGUGUAGAGGUGAAAUUCGUAGAUAUUGGGUAGAACACCGGUGGCGAAGGCGAGUAUCUGGCUGUUAACUGACACUGAGGCACGAAAGCAUGGGGAUCAAAC
rnacentral:rRNA from 1 species